rnacentral:rRNA from 1 species
AGUGAACGCUGGCGGUAGGCCUAACACAUGCAAGUCGAACGGCAGCACAGGAGAGCUUGCUCUCUGGGUGGCGAGUGGCGGACGGGUGAGGAAUACAUCGGAAUCUGCCCAGUCGUGGGGGAUAACGUAGGGAAACUUACGCUAAUACCGCAUACGACCUUCGGGUGAAAGAGGGGGAUCGCAAGACCUCUCGCGAUUGGAUGAGCCGAUGUCGGAUUAGCUAGUUGGCGGGGUAAUGGCCCAUCAAGGCGACGAUCCGUAGCUGGUCUGAGAGGAUGAUCAGCCACACUGGAACUGGGACACGGUCCAGACUCCUACGGGAGGCAGCAGUGGGGAAUAUUGGACAAUGGGCGCAAGCCUGAUCCAGCCAUACCGCGUGGGUGAAGAAGGCCUUCGGGUUGUAAAGCCCUUUUGUUGGGAAAGAAAUCUUUCAGGCUAAUACCCUGGGAGGAUGACGGUACCCAAAGAAUAAGCACCGGCUAACUUCGUG